rnacentral:rRNA from 1 species
AUACGGAGGGUGCAAGCGUUGUUCGGAAUCACUGGGCGUAAAGGGCGCGCAGGCGGUUUUACAAGUCAGAUGUGAAAGCCCACGGCUCAACCGUGGAAGUGCAUUUGAAACUGUAAGACUCGAGUAUCAGAGGGGAAGGUGGAAUUCCCGGUGUAGAGGUGAAAUUCGUAGAUAUCGGGAGGAAUACCGGUGGCGAAGGCGACUUUCUGGCUGAAUACUGACGCUGAGGCGCGAAAGCGUGGGGAGCAAACAGGAUUAGAAACCCCAGUAGUCC